ensembl:snRNA U6 U6 spliceosomal RNA
GUUCUCUCUUCAGCAGCAUAUAUAGUAAAAUUGGAACAAUACAGGGGAGAUUAGCAUGAAUGUGCACAAGGAUGACACACAAAUUUGUAAAAUUCAUUGAAAUUUU